UUCCCCGGUAAUGGACAAGAGACACCUUGUUGUUGGUGGUGUUCUUAAUCACCUAGGGGCAGAGCAGGUGGCAGUCCUCUGUCCAUCCUAGCUUGAUGCCUGGCUUGGCAGCUAAAUCAAAUCUGUCUUGUGCCUAGGACACAUAA